AAGAGAGAGGAUUGCACAUCUGGAAAUGUUGGUAUUCGUCAUUCGAUAUUUUCAGCAACUGAAUUGAACAACACAUUUUGUUGUACAACGCUGUCUGGAAAACAUCUCCCUUCCCUCUGGCAGAAGAAUCGCAGUGUGUUUCAGUUGGACAGACUGGACAGAGCGCAGCCGACACAGCGACGGUGUGAGUGGAGCAGAGA